rnacentral:rRNA from 1 species
CUGGCUCAGGAUGAACGCUGGCGGCGUGCCUAAUACAUGCAAGUCGAACGAACUYCGUUAAUUGAUCAGGAGGUGCUUGCACUGAAUGAGAUUUUAACACGAAGUGAGUGGCGGACGGGUGAGUAACACGUGGGUAACCUGCCCAGAAGCAGGGGAUAACACCUGGAAACAGAUGCUAAUACCGUAUAACAGAGAAAACCGCCUGGUUUUCUUUUAAAAGAUGGCUCUGCUAUCACUUCUGGAUGGACCCGCGGCGCAUUAGCUAGUUGGUGAGGUAACGGCUCACCAAGGCGAUGAUGCGUAGCCGACCUGAGAGGGUAAUCGGCCACAUUGGGACUGAGACACGGCCCAGACUCCUACGGGAGGCAGCAGUAGGGAAUCUUCCACAAUGGACGCAAGUCUGAUGGAGCAACGCCGCGUGAGUGAAGAAGGGUUUCGGCUCGUAAAGCUCUGUUGUUAAAGAAGAACGUGGGUGAGAGUAACUGUUCACCCAGUGACGGUAUUUAACCAGAAAGCCACGGCUAACUACGUGCCAGCAGCCGCGGUAAUACGUAGGUGGCAAGCGUUAUCCGGAUUUAUUGGGCGUAAAGCGAGCGCAGGCGGUCUUUUAAGUCUAAUGUGAAAGCCUUCGGCUCAACCGAAGAAGUGCAUUGGAAACUGGGAGACUUGAGUGCAGAAGAGGACAGUGGAACUCCAUGUGUAGCGGUGAAAUGCGUAGAUAUAUGGAAGAACACCAGUGGCGAAGGCGGCUGUCUGGUCUGUAACUGACGCUGAGGCUCGAAAGCAUGGGUAGCGAACAGGAUUAGAUACCCUGGUAGUCCAUGCCGUAAACGAUGAUUACUAAGUGUUGGAGGGUUUCCGCCCUUCAGUGCUGCAGCUAACGCAUUAAGUAAUCCGCCUGGGGAGUACGACCGCAAGGUUGAAACUCAAAAGAAUUGACGGGGGCCCGCACAAGCGGUGGAGCAUGUGGUUUAAUUCGAAGCUACGCGAAGAACCUUACCAGGUCUUGACAUCUUCUGCCAACCUAAGAGAUUAGGCGUUCCCUUCGGGGACAGAAUGACAGGUGGUGCAUGGUUGUCGUCAGCUCGUGUCGUGAGAUGUUGGGUUAAGUCCCGCAACGAGCGCAACCCUUAUUACUAGUUGCCAGCAUGGGCACUCUAGUGAGACUGCCGGUGACAAACCGGAGGAAGGUGGGGACGACGUCAAAUCAUCAUGCCCCUUAUGACCUGGGCUACACACGUGCUACAAUGGAUGGUACAACGAGUCGCGAAACCGCGAGGUUUAGCUAAUCUCUUAAAACCAUUCUCAGUUCGGACUGUAGGCUGCAACUCGCCUACACGAAGUCGGAAUCGCUAGUAAUCGCGGAUCAGCAUGCGCGGNUGAAAUACGUU